UUUUUUAUUUCUACUCACAAUUCUGAAACUCUAAAUCAGUCAUAUUCAUUGAGAAAUCCUAAGUCGUCCGUUACGCGGCUUCUCCUUCUUCCCGAACUACCAUCCUACCAGCAGCAUCUCUUCUAUGUUUAUCUUACUCGUCUUCCGUAUCCGGUAUCCCUAUGUUACCAUAACCCUUCGUUACACACCAUUCACUGGAAAUCCUAUUAUCCUAACCUUAAGCUACCUCCACCAUCGCCCACUCUCUCUUGCCCCUCUUCUACCUUCUGUUACGACGACAAGCCCUAACAGUCUCCACAACGCUAACCGUCACCACCAGCGAAGAGGUGAUAAAAGAAGGUAUUACGAAGAAUGGAGUUGGUCUUUGAUGUAAACGACGAUGAAAUCCCUCACCUUUCUUCCUGAAUCCCAAUUCUUCACUUCAAGCCUCCGUCAGUGUGUGUAUAUGUGUUUGAUAAAUGAUAAUCAUUAACACCGCCAUCAUCUUCAACUGCUCCCGAUUUUGAAUUGAAAAUCAUAACCCAUCGCAGGGGACCAUUUGGAGUUGGAAAUCCAGGUCAGGUGGUGAUGGUGAAAUUAGCGAAUUUCAAGAAAGAAUUCGUUUCUGUAAGUCCUUUAUACGUCUCUCUCCUUUUUCAAUUUUGAUUCUUAUGAGUUGCUCCCAUGUUCUCUGUGUUCGUUUUCACUUUUUUUUUCCAGCUUUUCUCGUACACUCGUGGGCGUGGCUACCAUGUGAACGUCAUAUAUAUUAGAUCAAAAUUGUCAAAUUAUGAUCGAUAUAAGAAUGUGUUGUGCGUUUGCAGUUUCAGGUGGUUGUGAGUGUAUGGAUUUGUAGUUUCAGGUGGUUGAGUGUAUGUGCUGCAGCAGGUGAUGGGAAAUAAUCAAAAUAUGGAGGACGCGACUUUCUUUGUGGAGUUUGGUAGGUUCACAUUCAACCACUUUUUAUGAACUGUCCAAGAAGCCACUUGUGGAUGGUGUGUCGGUGUCAUGGUUGGUGGAUGGAUGCACAACGGACCUUAGUAGUUGCAGAGACUAUCAUCGGAGGCAUAGGGUUUGUGAAGCUCAUUCCAAGACACCAGUUGUUGCCAUAGCUGGCAAACACCAAAGGUUUUGCCAGCAGUGCAGUAGGAAGAACAACGGGUGAUUGAACUAAAACUAAUAAUUAGACAUCAAGAAAUUCAAGAUGUUAAUAGGGCAAGAGAGAAGCUUCUCAAGCAGUAUAGUUGAACUAAAUGAGGCUGAAUGCUUCUCUAUUACUUUCUCAAAACUCAAGUAGCAGCCACUAUGUCUGAAGGUUAAUCUGCUCAAAGCAACUUGAAAAGUAGGCUUGUGUCUGCUUAUUGAACCUGUAAUAGUAAAGUUUUUUUUUUGUGUAUGUAACUUGAAAUAUGCUAGUUCAAAGAAGUAUUAACAUGUAAUAGUAAGGUUUUUUUUUUUUUU